GUUGCCAUGGCAUCGGGCUGUGUCAUCGCGUCGCUAGUGUCACCCCCCCCCGCCCCCCCCGCCCGGGAAUCCCGAGCUUUCACAACAGCCCCUGCGGUGACUGUUAUUGCCGCCCAGUGCGUGGCGCGUGAGUGCAGCCGCGCCGCGGUUUCAAGCCAUGCUCCACAGCCGCCGAGGGGGGGGGGACGGACCUGACUGUUGCCGGCACUCAGUGCCAGAGGCGAGCAACAGCAGGGGUUUGUUACUGGGUGUGCGCUACUUAAUAAUCACAACGGGGUGGAGAAGCAGAAAAGUUUAUUUGCAGCUGCAAACAAGUGUACAUUGACUUACAUGGUUCAACACUGAGGGCAUGUCUACACUUAGCUCCGGAGCGAUCGAUCCAGCGGGGGUCAAUUUAUCCCGUCUAGUGAAGAUGCGAUAAAUCAACUGCCGAGUGCUCGCCUGUCGACUCCGGUAUGCCACUGGAGUGAGAGGCACAGGCAGAGUCGACGGAGGAGCAUCAGCUGUCGACCUACUGCAGAGAGCUUGGAGUGUUUUCCCUUGGAAAAUGUUUGAAAAUACCUGCCAUCUGGUACAAUCUGAUGCAUUCCACAGACAAGAGAUUUUGCUCCUCUGAGGCAUUUUUAUGAGCUUCAGGAUGUGCUGUUAGCCUGUUAACCCAGCCUUGCAGAAAAACAUCUCCACACAAACUAAAGAUAUGACUUGUCCCUUCCAUUCACUCUCUGAGCUGAGAAUGCUGCUCCCCUGAUCCCCAUUUUUCUCAAUGAAGUAUGAAUUGCACAGAGCACACACACAUAAACUAAUCAAGGAAUCCAUUUGCAACCUGAACAGUUUUAUGAUUUAGGUCCAAUCCACUCUGCAACUUAGUGUUUAUCUGUGUUGUAACCUAGUCCCCUAGCCCAGCUAUAUGUAGUGUAGAAGGGGUCUUUUCUCUUUUUCUCAUGUAGUGCCCUUUCCCCCACCCCCAAAUCUGGAUGCUCCCUGGAUGCCAUGAAGUGCUUGUUUACAUGGGGAUUUAUAAUAGUUAUUCCUGAUUAGUGUGGAUGCUUUUAUAUGGUGACAUGCCACUAAGCACCCUUGCUUUCACACCCUGCACACUAUUGUAAUAAUAUUUGACAGAAUAUGCCUUCUGAGGUAUCAUUUGAAAACUAACUCACUGAUAAUUAAUGUUCUUUUGUGAUGUAUAUACAUUAUGUGUAUUAAGAAUUAUGAAUAUAUGCUGGAAUUUUGACUGAAGUAUGGUAUGUCAGUGGACAAGGGGUAUCAGAGGGUUAGCCAUGUUAGUCUGUAUCCACAAAAACAAUGAGGAGUCUGGUGGCACCUCAAAGACUAACAGAUUUAUUUGGGCAUAAGCUUUCGUGGGUAAAAACCACUUCUUCAGAUGC